UACGUAGGGGGCUAGCGUUGUCCGGAUUUAUUGGGCGUAAAGAGCGUGUAGGCGGCCAUGUAGGUCCGUUGUGAAAACUCGAGGCUCAACCUCGAGACGCCGAUGGAAACCAUGUGGCUAGAGUCCGGAAGAGGAGAGUGGAAUUCCUGGUGUAGCGGUGAAAUGCGCAGAUAUCAGGAAGAACACCCGUGGCUAAGGCGGCUCUCUAGUACGGUACUGACGCUGAGACGCGAAAGCGUGGGGAGCGAACAGG
rnacentral:rRNA from 1 species